UUCCACUGUGAACUGACAAAAUGCUUGAUAUGAUUUCAAUCUUCUUAAAUUUAUUGAGAUUUGAUUUGUGUCCUAACAUGGGGUCUACCUUAGGAAAUGUUCCAUUGUGCAUUUGAGAAGAAUGUAUAUUCUGCUGCUUUGGGG